AUGAGAAAAGCAGGAAACGAUGGGCGACCAUAUCCUCUCCUCUAUAAAACGCAGCACAACCCUGACCAAGGCCGCACCACCACCAAGCAGAUCUCCAGAAAGGACGCAUAGAUCUGAGCCCCAGCCCCGUUCUUCUCCAUGUUCGGCGGAUCUCCCAGCCGGCUACUUCUACAUGGACUCUAUCUCUCUCUCAUGGUUGUUUGCAACUGGUUUUUUCGGUGGCGGUGGCGGUGGUUUCCAUGGCUAACUGACAGAAGAGAGUGAGCACACAGCGGGCAAACUGCAUCGAUCUAAGUACACCUUUCUAAACCGAGGCGGCACACACGUACGAAUGAUGCAGCUGCUGUUGUGUGCUCACUUCUCUCUCUGUCAGUCCUCUCCCGGCCUCUCCCUGCCACCAUACACCCUCUCUCUCUCUCUCUCUCUCUCUCUCUCUCUCUCUCUCUCUCUCUCUCUCUCUCUCUCUCUCUCUCUCUCUCUCUGUGUGUGUGUAUGUGUGUGUGUGUGUGUGUGUGUGUAUGUGUGUGUGUGUGUGUGUGUGUGUGUUGUUGUUGCAGGCUUGCAGCAAGCGCCACCAUGUGAGCAGUUUCAGGCUUUCAACGGCGGGCUAAUAAGGGCUCGUGCCAUGGCGGUGGCGAGAUAAGGCCGGUCUGGGCGGGAUCUCGUCCUUAUCUUGUCCUGGCCUGCUGACUGCCCUACAUCUCGCCGCCCGAGGAGGGGGUUGAAGCGGUGGUGCAGCUGGACCCGUACUUUGGAGCAAGGUACGUGUAGUAGUCGUUUCCUGUCUUUUGUUUUGCGCUUUCUUUCCCUUUGCAGGCUGUGUCUCGUCGUCCCAAGGUCGAGGGAAAGGGGACAUGGCCUCGGGGGAAGGAGACGCCCGCGCGCGUGAUGGAUUGAUUAACUCAUCUCCCCGAUCUCGCUGCCGGUGCGGCUUUCCAUGCACGCUCCUAGCCGACAUCUCGUACUCUGUUCAGCUGCCAAUUUCAUCUCCUAGAUCUAAUGCUCCUGCUUCACUUGUUCUCGUCCCCCUUUGGUUACUUGACUUCGAGAUCUGUUAAUUUCUUCAAGAAAAUCGCUAGAUCUGUGUAGUCCCUUUUUUCGCUUUCCUGUUUCUUUUGCACACAUUUCUAUCUGUAGUAGUAUCAUCAUCUCAUGUGCUGCAGGUAGGUUUUUCGGUAGCUAUCCAUGGUGGUGGUGCCGUGGUGGUGAGUGGAGAGGGCAGAUCUGAUGCCCGGAAGAGGAAAGGAGCAUCAGUGCGUCUGCCUUCUAGAUCUGGAAACUGCUGUGCGUGCUUACGAAAGUGUACCCGCUAUUUUUACCAGUGGAUCGAUAUGAUUGCCAUGUGGAUGUCUCUCCCGAUCAUUAUCCAUAUGCUCCAAACUGAACAGACAAACUACUACUCCACUUGAACAUGGUUUCUGGGCACGUGUUGCCAGCGUUUGGACAAGUGGAGAUGAGACUCUGAAUGCAUGAACUUGACUCAGGAUCCACCUUUUGCUGGUCCCUAGAUAUGAAACGCAUGCAUGCUCUCCAGCAUUUGGAUUACCAUGCAACCUUUGUAGUCAAAGAGAUGCGAUCUUUGAUUGAAAAUCUGAAUACUAGUUAAACCUGUUUGGU